ACAGUUCAUGGUAUUCUAAGUUUUUUUUUUUUUUUUUUUAAAUAAGGAUUGGAAUUUAAAUUAGAAAGGGACAAACCAUAUUGGUUUUCUUCUCUGUGGAAAGCACAAUCUGGGCGAUUCCAGGGGAAUUGGAUUGUGAGAAUACUGCGGCACAGUUAAUACAUUUCUAAGGGGAAUUGAAACUGCUGCAACUGGCGUGAUCGUAAAUUGAGUUAGAAAUUGAAAUCAAAGCGAUCCAGAUAUUUCGAAGCGAUAAGCUGAGAUCACGCUCGAGCGGUUAACAUAUUUCUAAGAGGGAAAGUGAAACUGUGCGAGUAUUGGUUCUUCCGACUUGGGCAGAGGAAAGUCGGAUCUGUUGGAGACGUCUGACAGAUUAAAGGCGCGCCGAAGGGAAUAUCCACAGAGGAGAAACCGGGAGAUAUGGGAAAGUCUCAGAGCAAGCUCGUUGAAUAUGAUACACCGGUGUUUAGGCAAAUGAAAAAGUUGUAUGGUCAAAAAAGCAUGCAAGAUAUGGGGAAAUUAAUUUAAUACCAUGGUUUUCCAAAAGAGGGAACGCUGAGUGUUAAGAAAUUAAAAGCUGUGAAGGAAUCAGUAGAAGAGGGAAGCGAGGGACAGAAAGGUUGUUGUGCGAGGCACAUGUGUGAGAAAUGUGAACGUUGGAUAGCUGAGGCAGAUAGCAGAGAAAGGAGAACAAUGCAGAAAGAAUUAGCAAGUAGAAAGAAGGAAAAGAAAGUUGAAGAAUGUGAUGAAAAUGUAAAUGCCUCACAUAGACCUACUAACUGCUUUUAUGUUUGUGUUUCUAAACAUGUACCUCUGCCAUACACACAUUUCCCGGUGACCGAGGUGCAAGCCGCAAAAAUGGACCCCGAUCUCGAUUACUCUCCACCAAGAAGACCAACAGCACUGUGGCUAGAUCCAGAAUGGAGACAAGAAGCAGCGGAAGACCCAGAUAUCAUUCCUGAAACCCCCAACGAGGAAAUUGAAGAGGAAAUAGUGCGCAGAGCACCCCCGACAAAGAAAAGACAAACAGCGAAAGAAGAAAAUGCGAGUAUAACAGCUCCAUUGAUUGAAGUUUCUGGCCCUGACGGCCCUGUCAUGGUCUUUAGACCAUGGACUAUAACGGACAUGAAGAAAGCGAUGGCUCACUUGCCGAGCCCUGAUGAAGCAGGUGAUAAAUUUUCUACUGAAUUAGUCACCUUCUGCAAAGAAUUCAGCCCUACCGUGCAUGAACUGAGAAGGCUGCUGGCAGUGAAACGGAGAGCUGCAGAAAGAGGACUGUCGGAAAGAACACUGUGAAUGGAAAAGUGGAUGGCUAUCUGCUGUUUUAGCACACGCUUUGCAUGCAGAGGAGAUGCAGACGGCGGAGAAGGAAAGAGUUAAAGCCAAGACCAACAGAGAGUGGCAGCUGGCGUUUGUGCAAGCCGUGUCGAGGCCGGGGGGGCUAUUCUGCGUAGCGAAACCAGCAAUCGAAAUCGGGAAGAUGGAAAAGAGGAGGAGGAAGAUAUCCGAACGAAACUGAAAGAAACUCUGAAAGAUGGGGUUGUUGGAUCUGCGAGACUGAUGGACAUAUGACAUUCAGGUGCACCAGAUGCAGACUGUGCAAAAAGGACAGGCAUUGGGCAAAGGAUUGCCUGGAGAACCGGCGAAAUCAACAAGCAGACUGAAGUGAGGGAGACGGAGAGCAGAGAGGAGGGGUCCAGGGCGAGCAACCAACAGUCACAAGUGAAAGCUGCUCAGGAGAAGGUUGCUGAAAUUCCAUUGCACAACCUGAAACCAGGAGAUUUCGUGGUGGUGCGAGAUCUGAGGAGAAAGAGCUGGAAGGCGAAAAGGUGGCUGGGACCGUUCCAGGUGCUUCUGACCACUCACACGGCUGUGAAGGGAGCAGAGAGAGCAACGUGGAUCCAGGCCAGCUACUGCAGAAAGGUCCCACCUGCAUCUGAGGAAGAGGAGCUGAGGGAGUAAGGAUCUGGAGAAACACAUGUCAACAAGGCCAGAAUCCAGCCUAAACAUCAAGCGUCCUUAUCAGCGGGAAGAGCAAGGUUAAGACUGAAAAACAGCAUCGAAGUAGUCUGCGCGCAAGUGAAAAGAUAACUAUGAGCAUCAUAGUUGGGUACAUCAUGUUGUUUUCAUAUUCCAGACUACAGUGACAACGUUAUCAAUAUCAUCACUCACAUGAGAAUGGCCGUAAAAGAGCCUGAACGUACACAUAAUGCUGCUAAAUGAUUUUUGCUGAUAUUAUGCCUACCAUGUAUUUUUUUUAGUUGAUAUCCAGCUCAGGACAGAGACUGGAGAAGUUGAGUGUUUAACAUCAAAUGGUUCAAAUGACUGUGUACAAUGAAGACAUUAUCAUGGAUUUGAGUAGGGAGAAAACUACUGAUGAAGGGACAAACAGUAGUGGAAGCUACAGUGAAAUGUGUUAAAUGCAUGAGAUUUAUGAGAUUUUUUUUCUUUGAAGUAAGAAAUGUUCAGGCCUAUCUGAAUCUAUACUGUUUGCUUGCUUGAAAUAGGGUCUGUCCCCAUAUAAAAAGCCUUAGUAUAUUUCCUAAAUUCUUUUACAAACUUAAGAGGGUGAUCAUUUAUGUGAAGAUCAGGGAUGAAGAGUAUAAAUGUGAUGAAAUGCCUUAAGUUUGCUUUAUUUUGAAUCAUGUUUGUAUUUCUGAGUGUGAAAUUUUGAUUUCGGAUUGUGUUUAUAUCUGUGACGUGACUGAGGGUCUGACUCAUGUCAGGAAUGCAGUAGCAGUGACUUACUCGUUUAGCCCGGCGCCCAGAGCAAACAUAAUUCUAAGUGUGUAGUGAAAAUAGAACAAGUAGUAAUGAAUUUUUAUGUUUUAUUGAUCAAUGAAUGAUAAAGAGGGGGAAAUUGUGGUGGAAAAAUUAAUUUAACAUUGCUUCUGUAUACCUAUAUAAGCAUGUGUUUUCUUUGCUUUACUGUGUGGGUUCAUAAGGGUUACAUUUGGGGGGGGGGGGUCCUGAGGGGGUCACCUAAGUCCUAAAUGUGUGAGAAACAGCCCAUAGAGAGUGUUCCUUGUUUUGUGUGGAAAUUUACAGCUGCUGAAACUGUGUAACCUUGGAAGAGCAGAGGUAUAUAAGGUGGAGGACUGCCCUCUUCCUGGGUCGGUUUCACUCUGCAGGAACUCAGUGUUGCUGUAUGACUGUCUGACCUUCUUUGCAAAGAAUAAAAGCUUUCUUUUUAAUUA